AAUGCGGGCUUUGAUACCAUUCUCCAUCCUUGGGAUAUUUUGUUUCUAUAAUUUUGUGGCGGAAUAUAAUCUUCUACGGUUUGGUGCCGAGAGCCAAACCACAUGAUUAAUUUGGUUAAGAGUGCUCUAGCUUGCAUCUCUAAAUCAAGCACCUUGAGUCCUCUUUGUGUUAGGGGUUGUAUUACUGUUGACCAUCGGACCUUGGCGCGUAUAGAACCCAUUGUGAUGCCUGACCAUAGGUAAUUUUGCACUAAGGAUCUUAUUUGCUUGAAGAUCUUACUCUCUAUUCUUGCACUAUGUGGAAGCUAAGA
rnacentral:lncRNA from 1 species